rnacentral:rRNA from 1 species
UGGGGAAUAUUGCACAAUGGGCGCAAGCCUGAUGCAGCCAUGCCGCGUGUGUGAAGAAGGCCUUCGGGUUGUAAAGCACUUUCAGCGGGGAGGAAGGCGAUAAGGUUAAUAACCUUGUCGAUUGACGUUACCCGCAGAAGAAGCACCGGCUAACUCCGUGCCAGCAGCCGCGGUAAUACGGAGGGUGCAAGCGUUAAUCGGAAUUACUGGGCGUAAAGCGCACGCAGGCGGUCUGUCAAGUCGGAUGUGAAAUCCCCGGGCUCAACCUGGGAACUGCAUUCGGAAAUGGCAGGCUAGAGGCUUGUAGAGGGGGGUAGAAUUCCAGGGGUAGCGGUGAAAUGCGUAGGGAACUGGAGGGAUACCGGUGGCGAAGGCGGCCCCCUGGACAAAGACUGGCGGUCAGGUGCGAAAGCGUGGGGGGCAAACAGG